rnacentral:rRNA from 1 species
AGGAUGAACGCUGGCGGUCUGCUUAACACAUGCAAGUCGAACGGAGUACCUCGGUACUUAGUGGCGGACGGGUGAGUAACGCGUGAGAAUCUGCCCUUAGGUCGGGGACAACCAUUGGAAACGAUGGCUAAUACCGGAUAAGCCGAGAGGUAAAAGAUUAAUUGCCUAGGGAAGAGCUCGCGUCUGAUUAGCUAGUUGGUGAGGUAAAGGCUCACCAAGGCAUCGAUCAGUAGCUGGUCUGAGAGGAUGAUCAGCCACACUGGGACUGAGACACGGCCCAGACUCCUACGGGAGGCAGCAGUGAGGAAUUUUUCCGCAAUGGGCGAAAGCCUGACGGAGCGACGCCGCGUGUGGGAAGAAGGCCUUCGGGUCGUAAACCACUGUCGAAGGGGACUAUACUGAAGGUACCCUUGGAGGAAGCCCCGGCUAACUACGUGCCAGCAGCCGC